GACGAACGCUGGCGGCGUGCUUAACACAUGCAAGUCGAACGGAAAGGCCCUGCUUUUGUGGGGUGCUCGAGUGGCGAACGGGUGAGUAACACGUGAGUAACCUGCCCUUGACUUUGGGAUAACUUCAGGAAACUGGGGCUAAUACCGGAUAGGAGCUCCUGCUGCAUGGUGGGGGUUGGAAAGUUUCGGCGGUUGGGGAUGGACUCGCGGCUUAUCAGCUUGUUGGUGGGGUAGUGGCUAACCAAGGCAUUGACGGGUAGCCGGCCUGGGAGGGUGACCGGCCACAUUGGGACUGAGAUACGGCCCAGACUCCUACGGGAGGCAUCGGUGGGAAAUAUUGCACAAUGGGCGGAAGCCUGAUGCAGCAACGCCGCGUGCGGGAUGACGGCCUUCGGGGUGUAAACCGCUUUCGCCUGUGACGAAGCGUGAGUGACGGUAAUGGGUAAAGAAGCACCGGCUAACUACGUG
rnacentral:rRNA from 1 species